UACGUAGGGUGCAAGCGUUGUCCGGAAUUAUUGGGCGUAAAGAGCUCGUAGGCGGUUCGUCGCGUCGGCUGUGAAAACCCGGAGCUCAACUCCGGGCCUGCAGUCGAUACGGGCGGACUUGAGUGUUGCAGGGGAGACUGGAAUUCCUGGUGUAGCGGUGAAAUGCGCAGAUAUCAGGAGGAACACCGGUGGCGAAGUCGGGUCUCUGGGCAACUACUGACGCUGAGGAGCGAAAGCGUGGGGAGCGAACAGG
rnacentral:rRNA from 1 species